rnacentral:rRNA from 1 species
AGCGAACGCUGGCGGCAGGCCUAACACAUGCAAGUCGAACGAAGUCUUCGGACUUAGUGGCGGACGGGUGAGUAACACGUGGGAACGUACCUUUUGGUUCGGAACAACUCAGGGAAACUUGAGCUAAUACCGGAUGAGCCCUUAGGGGGAAAGAUUUAUCGCCGAAAGAGCGGCCCGCGUUAGAUUAGCUGGUUGGUGAGGUAAAGGCUCACCAAGGCUACGAUCUAUAGCUGGUCUGAGAGGAGGAUCAUCCACACUGGGACUGGGACACGGCACUGACUCCUACGGGAGGAAGCAGUGUGGAAUCUUGCGCAAUGGGCAAAAGCCUGACGAAGCUAUGCCGCUUGUAUGAUGAAGGUCUUAGGAUUGGAAAAUUCUUUUACCAGGGACGAUAAUGACGGUACCUGGAGAAAAAGCCCCGGCUAACUUCGUGCCAGCAGCCGCCGCCG